CCUUCCAACUGUUCUUUUGUAUCCCAACCAACAGCAUAUUCUAUUCCAUAAUCGACUGGUAACUUGGCAAUCAAAAUACAAGUGCUCAAAGUUCUCAGCAUGCUGCUGACAGAAUAUACAAUCCAACAGCAUAUUCUAUUCCAUAAUCGACUGGUAACUUGGCAAUCAAAAUACAAGUGCUCAAAGUUCUCAGCAUGCUGCUGACAAAAUAUACAAUCUGUAGGCACCUGAAUCCCAUACUUCUGCAGUCUGUCAG
rnacentral:lncRNA from 1 species